rnacentral:ribozyme from 14 species
UCUUUCAUCUAUGGACGGUUUAUUUUUUCUUUUUCCCUUUCUUCUUUUUCUUUUUCUUCGA